rnacentral:lncRNA from 1 species
GACCUAGCAGCCAGCUACUACAUGUCACUGGUCACUGGCCUCUGUGGUAGUCCGGUAGACCGGUAGUGCCAGUCGGCUAGCGUAGUCCUAGCUAGCUAGCUGCAAGAUCUACUGCGAAAAAGUGGCGUGGAUUUUAGUGCGGUUUUGGCUGCCUCUUGUCCCUGUACAGGGCACGGAUUGCAGGAAUCACAGCUGGCUACCUGCACAAUUAUUGUUUAUCAUGGAUUAAAUACAUGUUUGACUAGCCUAAUGGCGGCUACUGCGGCCACUGGCAGUGGUAGUGGUAGUGCCUGCGUCUUCGCAAUAU